rnacentral:lncRNA from 10 species
CCUCCGUGGAUAUGCUUCAGUGGUGGACACUUGCCUGUCUUCUCUGUGAAAUUCAUGGGAUAGUUUCAUAAUACUAGGAGAAGGCAGGCAUAAGCCAGCCUGAAGAAACCUCAAGCAGAGCCCAGGAAUAAAUUGCAAAGUCCCGAAUGUUCAAAAAGAUCUGAAUUAUUCUUCACGUCUGCCUAGAUUUUGCAGGGGCAGAGCUUCCUACAAAACCAUGCAACCUCAGGAGCUGCUGGGCUGUGUGUUUCUGUUAAAUUCCCAUCACUGCCACCAAAAGGGAAAGUCUUGUUCUCCCACUUCUAUUGGAAUGCCACAUGAUUCCUGGAGGAUGAGAAGCGGACAGCUGUGUCUGGAUUUGCUUGGUAAUCUAGCCUCAGUUUUAUUUCAUCUGCAUAACCUUUUCAUUGUGUGGGACUCUUCAUUUGGACGUUGCUGGAUGGGACUGCCUCUCAUCACAAAUUAUUUAGCUGCCAAGGACUUCACACAGCAAAAGGGACUUCGGGUAAACUGACUGUCUUCCAGGUUGUGGGUAAUUGUCUCAUUGUGGGGACUGAGGUUUUUUCACUUUGCAGGAGGCUUUUGGGCCCUCUGACAAGAAUCAUUGAACAUUGCUUAAACUUCAGCAUGAGGGAGCUCAUUCUGUCAUGUGAGCCAUGAAUUUUGUUUUGUUUUGUUUUGUUUCAUGGUGGAAUCCACAGUGACCCUAAAUAGUGGUACUAGACACCCUUUUCAGGCUUGCCAUCACCACAGACAGCCUCUGAGACACUGACUGAUCCUCACCUGCACCCAUGAGUGGAAGGUCCAAGGUGCAAGAACACUGCUGCUUCAUGCACUUUCCUUUGUCAUGGUUCCUGUCUGUCCCAGAGAGCCCUGUGAGGCCCAGGAUGAAGGGAGGCACUGAGAUCUAGAGUCCAGCCAUCUUUCACUGACACCGACCUCUGGAGUCUCAGGUAUGAUUCUUUCCCCCAAAGAACCCUCAACAAUACACCAGAGUAUAUUCCAAUACCCAAGUGACUUGAUUCUUGCACACAGCCUCUUUUGGGAAUGAAGUUAGAAGAACAGUUUCCACCAACUAACUCACAGUCUGGAAAUGCCUCUUCCUCCAGUGGGACCCAACCAUGCAGAUGGCAAGAAGAAACUUUGAGGUCGAGACUUUUAGGGUCUCACAGUGGGUUUUCACAGGCAGCCUUUUUCUGGAUACCUGGCCAGCCCUGCCUGUGCCAUUAGGUGGGCUGAGGACGCUGAUAGUCUGGCACCCCAGUCUGCUUCACAAAUGCACAUAUGAUAGUCUCAGGGCAUCAGGCCUGAUUGUGAACUCUGGCUAGCUUCAAAAUGAAUGUCACCUUUGCCUAACCACAAGUCCCUGUGGCUUGGUGGAGAAAGAGACCUCUGUGGAGGUGUGUCAGCAGCAGACUCUCACCUCUUUUCUCUGUGAGAUCCACGAGAUAGUCCUAUGAUCCUAAGAGAGGACAGACGUGAGCUAGACAGAAGAAACAUCAAGCAGAGCCACAGGAAUAAACUGCAAAAUCCCUAAAGAUACCAAAAGGUCUGCAAAAUUCCUCAAACCUUCCUAGACGUUGUAGGGGUGAGGCUUUUUGAAACUUGCCAACUGUAUUCCAAUCCCCAUUAUACUGGAUUCUUGCAUACACGCAUUCUCAUUUAGGAAUGGAAUUUGAAGAGCAGUCUCCAGCGACCAUCUUACUGUCUUGAAAUGCCUCCUCCUCCAGCGUGACCCAAAUAUGGAGAUGGCCCGAAUGGGCCCUGAGGUUGAUACUUUUAAGGUCCACCAUGGGUUUUCAAAGGCAUCCAUUUUCCCAACUUGGCUGGCUCUGUCUGUAUCAUUUUCCUCUGCCUAGGCAGGCUGACAGCUCUUAAGGCCGGGCACAAGAUCUUGCCUCAAGAAUGUCCAUGAGCUAGCCUCAGAACAUCAGGCUUGACUGUUAGCUCUGGCUGGCAUCACAAUGAAUGUCACCAUUGCCUAGCGACAAGUCCCUGCAGCUUGGCAGAGGAGACCUUUGUGGAGGUUCAUCGGCUGUGGACUCUCACCUGUCUUCUCUUUGGGAUUCAUCAGUUAGUCGCGUGAUCCUCUGAGAGGUCAGACCUGAGCCAAUCUGAAGAAACCUCAAGCAGAGCCCAGGAAUAAACUGGGAAACCCCUCAGGAUCCAGAAGCAUCUGCAGGAUUCCUGAGUCCUCCCUAGAUGUUUUAAGUGUGAGUCUUUUUGAAACUUGCCUUACUGUGAUUUUUAGGUACAGCCUGCUUCUGUUCCUUGCUGUCUUUCAGAUGGGGCUUCCUACAAAACCACACAGCCUCAGGAGCUACUGGGCUGUGUGUUUUAGUGGGAGGGUUGUGAGUGUUGGAUGUAUGCAUGCGUGUGUGCUAUUUUGUGUUUGUGUGUGUGUGCUGGUAAGUGGAGUCUGCUUAAAUAAAUAUGGCU